rnacentral:lncRNA from 1 species
AAAUAACUCCCCAUUCCCUUUCCUUUAACCUCUAGUAACCUGUCUUUUGUUUGUUUAUAUAUUUAUUUAUUUAUUUUUGGUUUUUCGAGAUAGGGUUUCUCUGUAUAGCCCUGGCUGUCCUGGAACUCACUCUGUAGACCAGGCCACUGGGGAUGGGCAUUGAAGUUUCAAAAGCCUGGACCAGUCUCGUCUCUGUCUGCUGCUGCUUUUGAACCAGAUGUGAACUCUGAGCUACUGCUCCAGUGCCACCUCUGCCUGCCUGCCACCAUGCUCCCUGCUGUGAAGGUCAUAGACUUGAACCUUCUGCAACUGUAAGCUCCCAAUGAACUAGUAUAAAUUGUCCUGGUCAUUGUGUCUUACCACACCAAUAGAAAAGUAACUAAGACAAUAAGUCUGUUGGGUAUUUUCUUUCUUCUCGAUUGAUGUGAGAGGGCCCAGCCCAUUGUGGGGAGUGCAGCCCUUGACAGAUGGUCCUGGGUUGUAUAAAAAUAAAAAGCAACCCAAGAGAGUCAUUCAUCCAUGGUCUCUGCUUCAGUUCCUAAUUCCAGGUUCCUGCCUUGAAUUCCUUCUCUGACUUCCCUCAAUGAUGGACUGUAAGCUGUAAGAUGAAAUAAACAUUUUUCACCCC